AUGAUUGAUAUUAAUUUUUUGAAUCUAGUUAUGGUUGAUAUUAUUUUACUAAGUACAUUAUUAUCAUUUCUUUUUACAAACUGUAUUCCGACACUUAAUUUUCACGGUAUGUUUUAUAAGAGAAAAUAUCCGCAAAACAUAUUACAGAGUAGAAUAAAUCCUUUCUCCUUUAUAUUUAUAUU
rnacentral:sRNA from 1 species